GUCCCUCCUGGCUUGUGCGUCACCAGGACAGCCAUGCUAGCCAGGCCUCUCCAUCUUGCCUGGUUUGUGAGAGGGACUCCUCGACCGAUGAGCCGCCCACGGGCCUCAGGGGUGCAGUGUGGGGGAGCACCCCUAGUAAUCCUUCUGCCGCACUCAGAUUUGAGGGCACUGGUACAGAGCUGGGCCUCAGGAGGUGCCCUGGGGACAGGCAGCGGGGCAGUGGUGAUCAGGAAGGUCUUGGGUGGGGGUCCCUUGCCCAGUUCUCUUUCUCGCGUGAAGAUGGAGAAUGUGGGUAGCACCCAGAGAGCUCCCUAAAGGGGCUCUGAGGGCCCAGGGGCAGUUGGUGCCCCUUAAAUCUGAGCAACCUCUCCUGGGGGCCACUUCUUGGCCAGGUCAAAGUAUUCUGGCCAUGGUCUUGGCUUCCCGGGGGAGGGCUGUUCUCCCAGGCACUGAGAUUGCCCAUGGGCCUUCUCGUUGCAGGGAGGCGGCUGGGAUAGAGGCCAGUCCCAAACACCUGAGCCUCACUGAGGGGAAGGCCUGGGCUUGGAGAUGGGGUGCGCAGGAGUGGCUGGCUUUGCCUUGUUCUAUUAGGCGAGUGAUUUUCAGAGACAAAGGUCCAAGUUAGGAGACGUAAUUACUCAGUGCUUUGAAGGGACAUCCAAGGUGCUCACUCUUAGCCAUAGCCGUUGGUUUCCUGGAUGCUGACUGUGAAGAUUCUAAAGUGCUUCCUAGGGUGGGCGGUGGUGGCAGGAGGCCUUGGACGGAGUCCAGGCCAGACCCAGCCUCCUGUUUAAUAGGCUGAGCCCAAGCGUCCCUCAGAUGCGAAUCCAACAGCCUUGGUGAGUUGUAAGAUUUCAUGGAAACUUUCCCUGACUUCUGUCUCCCCCUUGCUCCCCAUUACCUGGGAAAGGCAGCUUUGUGGGCCAUGUGUCCCGGAAGGGCCUGGGCUGGCUGUGGCCCAGUGCUCAGGACCAGCCAUCUUGGCCCUCACAGCGCCCUGCCCAGUUGGUGUAAUAUUUGUCUUCAAGCCAUUGUUGGAGCAGGCAGGCAAAGGGGGCUUUCUGAGGAUCCAACGUGUGCCAGCCACUGGGAUACAAAGACAGGCCUGGUUCCUAGCUGUGGGGCUGGGAAGGGUAUCUGACAUCAAUGGUGGCACCUGGCAGAGGACACACAGACAACAGCAGGCAGCAUGGGCUGCAGUAAAUGUUGCAGAAGCACCUAAAGGUUGAGCAGAAGGGAGGUAGGAAACCUGGACAUGGCCUGCCAGCAGCUGAGAAGCCCCCCUGAGAUCCUGGCGGCCCCGCCACCAUCUGAAGAUUUAGGCCAGUCCCUUGGGCUUUUCAGGCAGGCCCUUAUGGUGGCCGGCCAGUUUGGGACCCUCCCAUUUUGAUACAUUAGUUCCCCCUCAGCUACUGGAGAUCUCAGCCACAACUGGGCUCCAGCUGUGACCCAGACUCCGCCAGGAUCCCCUAGAUCCUCAGCUGUCAGAUAAUCCCCUGUCCCCCUCCUCCUCCCCACUCAACCCCCAGUGCUUGACAUGAAUGCAUGUGUGCUUCCUAGGACUAGAGGCCGGUGCUGUCUCUACCAUUGCCCUCACUUUAAGGGGCACACGAGCAGAUGGUAGCAAGCCCUGGAGAGCAGCACUCGGGCAAGUGAGGUGGCUCUGGCACUGCCCC
rnacentral:lncRNA from 1 species